CGCAUCUGUGCAUGCAGCAUAUCAAUAAGCGGAGGAAAAGAAACUAACAAGGAUUCCCCUAGUAACGGCGAGUGAAGCGGGAAGAGCUCAAAUUUGAAAUCUUAAAGGGUUUCCCUUUACGAAUUGUAGUUUAAAGAAGUGUUUUCUGUUGAGGUUUUGGUAAAAGUUCUUUGGAAUAGGACAUCAUAGAGGGUGAGAAUCCCGUAUUUGACCUUUACUUUCAACUUUGUGAUACACUUUCAAAGAGUCGGAUUGUUUGGGAAUGCAGUCCAAAAUGGGUGGUAAAUUUCAUCUAAAGCUAAAUAUUGGCGAGAGACCGAUAGCGAACAAGUACCGUGAGGGAAAGAUGAAAAGAACUUUGAAAAGAGAGUUAAACAGUACGUGAAAUUGUCAAAAGGGGAAGCGUUUGACACCAGUGUUGUUUUUCUGAAAAUCAAUUAAAGAACUGUUUAUGCUAAGUUGUUUAGACUUUAUCAGCUAACUGUUUAGUUUUGAGCUUUUCUUUAAUGCACUUUUCAGUUAACAAGUCAACAUCAAUUUCUUUUGCUGUAAAAAAGCUUGAGGAAGGUGGCUUGAGAUUCGUCUUAAGUGUUUAUAGCCUCUUGCCUAUGCAGUCGGAGAGAUUGAGGUCUGCAGCGUAGAUCCUUCGGGGCUAAAUGCAUUUGUGCUAAGUUAUAGCAUUUUAUAGACAACUUGUUGACUAUGAUUUGUCUUGUAGCUUACUCGCUUAUGUUAUUUUACCUACGCUUAGGAUGUUGAAUCUGUGCGAGACUAC
rnacentral:rRNA from 1 species